GAACUUAAGCAUAUCAAUAAGCGGAGGAAAAGAAACUAACAAGGAUUCCCCUAGUAACGGCGAGUGAAGCGGGAAGAGCUCAAAUUUGAAAUCUGGCAGUCUUCGAUUGUCCGAGUUGUAAUCUAUAGAGGCGUUUUCCGUGCCGGACCGUGUCCAAGUCUCCUGGAAAGGAGUAUCAAAGAGGGUGAUAAUCCCGUACUUAACACGACCACCGGUGCUCUGUGAUACGUCUUCUACGAGUCGAGUUGUUUGGGAAUGCAGCUCAAAAUGGGUGGUGAAUUCCAUCUAAAGCUAAAUAUUGGCGAGAGACCGAUAGCGAACAAGUACCGUGAGGGAAAGAUGAAAAGCACUUUGGAAAGAGAGUUAAACAGUACGUGAAAUUGUUGAAAGGGAAACGAUUGAAGUCAGUCGUGUUCUUUGGAUUCAGCCAGUUCUGCUGGUCUACUUCCUUGGAACGGGUCAACAUCAGUUUUGUCCGGUGGAUAAAGGUAGUAGGAAUGUGACUUCUCCGGAAGUGUUAUAGCCUAUUAUCACAUACACUGGGUGAGACUGAGGACUGCAGCUCGCCUUUAUGGCCGGUCUUCGGACACGUUCGAGCUUAGGAUGUUGACAUAAUGGCUUUAAACGACCCGUCUUGAAACACGGACCAAGGAGUCUAACAUAUCUGCGAGUGUUUGGGUGUCAAACUCGAG
rnacentral:rRNA from 1 species